rnacentral:rRNA from 1 species
CCUACGGGAGGCAGCAGUAGGGAAUCUUCCACAAUGGGCGAAAGCCUGAUGGAGCACCGCCGCGUGGGUGAAGAAGGUCCUCUGAUCGUUAAACCCUGUUGUUAGAGAAGUAAGUGCGUGCGCGUAACUGUUCACGUUUCUACGGUAUCUAAACAGAAAGGCACGGCUAACUACAUGCCAGCAGCCGCUGUAAUACGUAGGUGGCAAGCGUUAUCCGGAUUUAUUGGGCGUAAAGGUAACGCAGGUGGUCUUUUAAGUCUGAUGUGAAAGUCUUCGGCUGAAACGGAGUAGUGCAUUGGAAACUGGGAGACUUGAGUACAGAUGAGGAAAGUGGAACUCCAGGUGUAGCGGUGAAAUGCGUAGAUAUAUGGAAGAACACCAGUGGCGAAAGCAGCUUUCUAGUCUGUAACUGACGCUGAGGUUCGAAAGCGUGGGUAGCAAACAGGAUUAGAUACCCGGGUAGUC